rnacentral:lncRNA from 1 species
GGACGUUGCCUGGGGUGCAGGUGCCGAGGGCCAGCCUGAGAGACGGAAGCACCCCAUCACCAGGGAAAUGCAGGCCCACCCUGAGAUUCAGAUUCUGAACCAAAGCUGCCAAAUCUCAUCAUAGAAUACAACACAGACAUUGUCAAAGGGGUUUCUAGGGAGAAGUUGGAAGCUAAAUAGGGUCCUCAGCUUCUGGAGGUCCUAGUAUUACACCUCACAUUUCCGCUCUCCCGGCUCACCAAGGGGCUUCCUGGCUCUGGGAAGGGGCAAGGCAUUUGGAGCAGCUUCAGCCAGUUGCCCGAGGUCUUCGGAAGGAGCCCAUCCGGGGAUCCUGAGGCAGGAGGGAGCUGGAGGUGCAGAAGGAGCCUCCUGGAUUGCAGGCAUGCGCCACAACACCCAGCUCUAUCAUGGGCUGCACCCCCCAGAGCCACUGCAUGCACCGCCUGUCACAAGGUCAAAAGACUACCAGACCAGCAUCUGCUCAAAGUGGACUCGCUCUGCCCUGCCCUGUCCUUUCUCCUAGUACUGCAGAUUAAACCCAGG